GCUUUCCUUAUGUUGCUCAGUUGAUAGAGCAUUGCGCUAACCACGCAAAAGUUGUGGGUUCAAAUCCCAGGGAAAGCA
rnacentral:tRNA from 1 species